rnacentral:rRNA from 1 species
UGCGUAGGUGGGAUUGUAAGUCAGUGGUGAAAGUCUGCCGCUUAACGGUAGGACUGCCAUUGAUACUGCAAUUCUUGAGUAUGGUUGAGGUAAGUGGAAUGUGUAGUGUAGCGGUGAAAUGCAUAGAUAUUACACAGAACACCGAUUGCGAAGGCAGCUUACUAAGCCAUUACUGACGCUGAGGCACGAAAGCGUGGGGAGCGAACAGGAUUAGAUACCCUGGUAGUCC